GAAGGGGGCUAGCGUUGCUCGGAAUCACUGGGCGUAAAGGGCGCGUAGGCGGCCGAUUAAGUCGGGGGUGAAAGCCUGUGGCUCAACCACAGAAUUGCCUUCGAUACUGGUUGGCUUGAGACCGGAAGAGGACAGCGGAACUGCGAGUGUAGAGGUGAAAUUCGUAGAUAUUCGCAAGAACACCAGUGGCGAAGGCGGCUGUCUGGUCCGGUUCUGACGCUGAGGCGCGAAAGCGUGGGGAGCAACAGGAUUAAUACCUGGUAGUCCACGCCGUAAACGAUGAAUGCCACCGUUGGCCUGCUUGCAGGUCAGUGGCGCCGUAACGCAUUAAGCAUUC
rnacentral:rRNA from 1 species